rnacentral:rRNA from 1 species
AACGAACGCUGGCGGCAUGCCUAACACAUGCAAGUCGAACGAAGGCUUCGGCCUUAGUGGCGCACGGGUGCGUAACGCGUGGGAAUCUGCCCUUUGCUUCGGAAUAACAGCUAGAAAUGACUGCUAAUACCAGAUGAUGUCGCAAGACCAAAGAUUUAUCGGCAAAGGAUGAGCCCGCGUAGGAUUAGCUAGUUGGUGGGGUAAAGGCCUACCAAGGCGACGAUCCUUAGCUGGUCUGAGAGGAUGAUCAGCCACACUGGGACUGAGACACGGCCCAGACUCCUACGGGAGGCAGCAGUGGGGAAUAUUGGACAAUGGGCGGAAGGCUGAUCCAGCAAGGCCGCGUGAGUGAUGAAGGCCUUAGGGUUGUAAAGCUCUUUUACCCGGGAUGAUAAUGACGGUACCGGGAGAAUAAGCUCCGGCUAACUCCGUG